rnacentral:rRNA from 1 species
GAUGAACGCUGGCGGCGUGCCUAAUACAUGCAAGUCGAGCGAACGGACGAGAAGCUUGCUUCUCUGAUGUUAGCGGCGGACGGGUGAGUAACACGUGGAUAACCUACCUAUAAGACUGGGAUAACUUCGGGAAACCGGAGCUAAUACCGGAUAAUAUUUUGAACCGCAUGGUUCAAAAGUGAAAGACGGUCUUGCUGUCACUUAUAGAUGGAUCCGCGCUGCAUUAGCUAGUUGGUAAGGUACGGGUUACCAAGGGAAGGAUGCAUAGCCGACCUGAGAGGGUGAUCGGCCACACUGGAACUGAGACACGGUCCAGACUACUACGGGAGGCAGCAGUAGGGAAUCUUCCGCAAUGGGCGAAAGCCUGACGGAGCAACGCCGCGUGAGUGAUGAAGGUCUUCGGAUCGUAAAACUCUGUUAUUAGGGAAGAACAUAUGUGUAAGUAACUGUGCACAUCUUGACGGUACCUAAUCAGAAAGCCACGGCUAACUACGUG